AUUUGAUUUCCUUCGGGACUGAUUAUUUUGUGACUGAGUGGCGGACGGGUGAGUAACGCGUGGGUAACCUGCCUUGUACAGGGGGAUAACAGUUGGAAACGGCUGCUAAUACCGCAUAAGCGCACAGUAUCGCAUGAUGCAGUGUGAAAAACUCCGGUGGUAUAAGAUGGACCCGCGUUGGAUUAGCUAGUUGGUGAGGUAACGGCCCACCAAGGCGACGAUCCAUAGCCGACCUGAGAGGGUGACCGGCCACAUUGGGACUGAGACACGGCCCAAACUCCUACGGGAGGCAGCAGUGGGGAAUAUUGCACAAUGGGCGAAAGCCUGAUGCAGCGACGCCGCGUGAGCGAAGAAGUAUUUCGGUAUGUAAAGCUCUAUCAGCAGGGAAGAUAAUGACGGUACCUGACUAAGAAGCACCGGCUAAAUACGUGCCAGCAGCCGCGGUAAUACGUAUGGUGCAAGCGUUAUCCGGAUUUACUGGGUGUAAAGGGAGCGCAGGCGGUGCGGCAAGUCUGAUGUGAAAGCCCGGGGCUCAACCCCGGUACUGCAUUGGAAACUGUCGUACUAGAGUGUCGGGGGGGUAAGCGGAAUUCCUAGUGUAGCGGUGAAAUGCGUAGAUAUUAGGAGGAACACCAGUGGCGAAGG
rnacentral:rRNA from 1 species